AGAGCGAACGCUGGCGGCAGGCUUAACACAUGCAAGUCGAGCGGGCGUAGCAAUACGUCAGCGGCAGACGGGUGAGUAACGCGUGGGAACAUACCUUUUGGUUCGGAACAACACAGGGAAACUUGUGCUAAUACCGGAUAAGCCCUUACGGGGAAAGAUUUAUCGCCGAAAGAUUGGCCCGCGUCUGAUUAGCUAGUUGGCGGGGUAAUGGCCCACAAGACGAUGAUCGGUAUCC
rnacentral:rRNA from 1 species